GAUGAACGCUGGCGGCGUGCUUAACACAUGCAAGUCGAACGGAAAGGCCCUGCUCUUGUGGCGUGCUCGAGUGGCGAACGGGUGAGUAACACGUGAGUAACCUGCCCUUGACUUUGGGAUAACUUCAGGAAACUGGGGCUAAUAUCGGAUAGGAGCUCCUGAUGCAUGGUGGUGGUUGGAAAGUUUCGGCGGUGGGGGAUGGACUCGCGGCUUAUCAGCUUGUUGGGGGGGUAGUGGCUUACCAAGGCUUUGACGGGUAGCCGGCAUGGGAGGGUGAGCGGCCACAUUGGGACUGAGGUACGGCCCAGAAUCCUACGGGAGGCAGAAGUGGAGAAUAUUGCACAAUGGGCGGAAGCCUGAUGCAGCAACGCCGCGUGCGUGAUGACGGCCUACGAGUUGUAAACCGCUUUCGCCGGUGACGAAGCGGUAGUGACGGUAAUGGGUAAAGAAGCACCGGCUAACUACGUG
rnacentral:rRNA from 1 species